rnacentral:tRNA from 1 species
UCCGCGGUAGCUCAGCUGGUAGAGCGUCUCGCUGUUAACGAGAAUGUCACAGGUUCGAGUCCUGUCCGCGGAGCAA